GAUGAACGCUGGCGGCGUGCCUAAUACAUGCAAGUCGAGCGAACAGACGAGGAGCUUGCUCCUCUGACGUUAGCGGCGGACGGGUGAGUAACACGUGGAUAACCUACCUAUAAGACUGGGAUAACUUCGGGAAACCGGAGCUAAUACCGGAUAAUAUAUUGAACCGCAUGGUUCAAUAGUGAAAGACGGUUUUGCUGUCACUUAUAGAUGGAUCCGCGCCGCAUUAGCUAGUUGGUAAGGUAACGGCUUACCAAGGCAGCGAUGCGUAGCCGACCUGAGAGGGUGAUCGGCCACACUAGAACUGAGACACGGUCCAGACUCCUACGGGAGGCAGCAGUAGGGAAUCUUCCGCAAUGGGCGGAAGCCUGACGGAGCAACGCCGCGUGAGUGAUGAAGGUCUUCGGAUCGUAAAGCUCUGUUAUUAGGGAAGAACAAAUGUGUAAGUAACUAUGCACGUCUUGACGGUACCUGAUCAGAAAGCCACGGCUAACUACGUG
rnacentral:rRNA from 1 species